UCCUAACCUAGCCCACAGACCUCCAUGCAGACCCAACUUACAAAAAUUGGAUUACAUGCAUUGUACAUGGAUUAGUGGUUCGAUUAGAUAUUUUUAUCAAACCAAUUAUAUCAGUUUGGUAAGAAAAUAAAUUAUGAAUAGUAAGAAAGAUUGCAUUUUCAUUUUAUUUAUUUAUUUAUUAUUUUUUUUUUUUGCUCUAACCAGUUUGAUUGGUUUGUCUAGAUUUUUUCUGACCAGCUCAAUUGCAUAAUUGGUAUGGUUGGGUUAGGUGUUUGCAGGUUAAAUGCUGUUAAGGGAUUAAACAAUAUUACUUCCACUUUCCCAAGUGCGCCUUUCAAUGUUGAAUGACCAUCAAAUACUGUUUAUGUUGCUGAGAGUGUGCAUGAACUUAACGAAUUGGGCAUCCAAGUUCACUUUCAGAGUUGAAAGAAAAUGAAUUCUGUCAGUCUAGCAAUGAUGAAUUCAAAGAUUACAUAUCCAUCAAAACCCCUUUUCAUCCACGAAUUCUGUCAGUCUUAGCAGUGAUGAAUUCAAAAAUUAGAUAUCCAUCAAACCCUUUUUCA